AUUGAACGCUGCGGCAGGCUUAACACAUGCAAGUCGAGCGAGCGGCGGACGGGUGAGUAAUGCUUAGGAAUCUGCCUAUUAGUGGGGGACAACAUCUCGAAAGGGAUGCUAAUACCGCAUACUAAUAGACGAGCCUACGUCGGAUUAGCGAGUUGGUGGGGUAAAGGCCUACCAAGGCGACGAUCUGUAGCGGGUCUGAGAGGAUGAUCCGCCAAAAUGGGACUGAAGCAAGGCACAGACUCCUACGGGAGGGAGCAGUUGGGAAAAAUGGAAAAUGGGGGGGACCCUGAACCAACCAUGCCGCGUGUGUGAAGAAGGCCUUAUGGUUGUAAAGCAAUUUAAGGGAGGAGGCGGUACUCGCAGAAUAAGCACCGGCUAACUCUGUGCCAGCAGCCGCGGGAAUAC
rnacentral:rRNA from 1 species